UACGGUGGGAGCAAGCGUUGUUCGGAUUUACUGGGCGUAAAGGGCGCGUAGGCGGCCACCGCAAGUCAGUUGUGAAAUCUCCGAGCUUAACUCGGAAAGGUCAACUGAUACUGCGGGGCUAGAGUGCGGAAGGGGCAACUGGAAUUCUCGGUGUAGCGGUGAAAUGCGUAGAUAUCGAGAGGAACACCUGCGGCGAAGGCGGGUUGCUGGGCCGACACUGACGCUGAGGCGCGAAAGCUAGGGGAGCGAACGGG
rnacentral:rRNA from 1 species